rnacentral:misc_RNA from 1 species
UAUAGAUACUUCUGCACUUGCAUCAAGUUCAACGAACGCUUCAAUUCAUAUUGUAAACAAAAUUUAUAAAUAAAAUGCGGAGUCUGAGGUGACACCAAAAAAAAAAAACUAAUCUUGUCUUUCAAUUUCAUAAAAGAUCGUAAACGAUCACCAGCGCAUAAACAGAGUAAAAUCAAUAGCCUCCCUUCAAAUCGUUAACCACAUCAUAUGGUAUGGGGGUAACUGUCUCCAACGUAGCGCCCUCAACCAUGAAUCCUGGUUUGGGUCCUGCGGGUUGUCUUUUUGUGCUGACAAUCUCUCCUCUAGCCUUGGCCUCAGCCUUAAUCUGGUCAUUCUUCUUGAUCCUUUCUCUGACUUCUUCGGUGCAUCGAGAAGCUUGAACAUGUUCAAUCCUAACGUGGAUCCUCUUCCUUAGGAUACGAUCACGAACCUGCUUGUUAACUUCGACACCGACGGCGCGUUUGGUGACGUUCCAGACACGUCCGGUACGGCCAUGAUAGAAUUUGUGCGGCAUUCCCUUGUGAAUUGCACCGUUCACUUUGAUAUCAACAUAAUCACCGAUUUUGAAGAUUCUCAGGUAGGUUGAAAGGUGAAUUGUACCUUUCUUUCUAAAUGCACGAGAGAAUGAAUCUCUCGUACGAGACCUCAAUCCAUGGCCGGCCGGCAUUUUCCUCCGCCUUUCUCCGGUGAGUGCAGUGUGUGACUGUGUAUGCGGGAAGGAAGC